ACUGACAAGAAGGACAGACGACUCUGAGGGAGGUCUGUGCUCAAUGGAAAAAAGUGCUUGUAGCAGUGUCAAACGAGCAUUAGUUUGCCUUCCUUUCCAGCUUCUGGCCAGGAUGCUUGUCAAUUGCGCUACAUGGUCACCUGCCUCAACAUUCAAUAAUUACGUCUGUGAAAUACACUGACAAGAAGGACAGACGACUCUGAGGGAGGUCUGUGCUCAAUGGAAAAAAGUGCUUGUAGCAGUGUCAAACGAGCAUUAGUUUGCCUUCCUUUCCAGCUUCUGGCCAGGAUGCUUGUCAAUUGCGCUACAUGGUCACCUGCCUCAACAUUCAACAAUUACGUCUGUGAAAUACACUGACAAGAAGGACAGACGACUCUGAGGGAGGUCUGUGCUCAAUGGAAAAAAGUGCUUGUAGCAGUGUCAAACGAGCAUUAGUUUGCCUUCCUUUCCAGCUUCUGGCCAGGUAAAGCAAUAACUUUUUAAUUCAAAAGGGUUCCUCUCCCUAUUUCGUUUAGAAGCUGAUUACGAAAUUUGCCUCGACAAAUUUUAAUUUGUUUCUUGUUGUCCAUUCCACUUGAUUGCCUUGCUUCUUUGUUCACUGCCUUGUUAUAAAUAUAUUGUAUUUAUAACAAGAUAUGUGUGAAACAUCCUGUACUUUAUCAGUGUUAAAGAGGAGAGUGAUUAUAGCUAAAGCUCUAUCUCAUUGAUAUGCAUUUAGCGCUAUCAAAGAACUUGUGCCUCUUAGUUUUUCUCUUCAUGUUUUACUGUUUAAAAGUCAAAACAUGAGUUAAAAGGC